CCUACGGGAGGCAGCAGUGAGGAAUAUUGGUCAAUGGACGAGAGUCUGAACCAGCCAAGUAGCGUGAAGGAUGACUGCCCUAUGGGUUGUAAACUUCUUUUAUAUGGGAAUAAAAUGAUCCACGUGUGGGAUUUUGUAUGUACCUUAUGAAUAAGGCUCGGCUAACUCCGUGCCAGCAGCCGCGGUAAUACGGAGGAUCCGAGCGUUAUACGGAUUUAUUGGGUUUAAAGGGAGCGUAGGUGGGUUGUUAAGUCAGUUGUGAAAGUUUGCGGCUCAACCGUAAAAUUGCAGUUGAAACUGGCAGUCUUGAGUACAGUAGAGGUGGGCGGAAUUCGUGGUGUAGCGGUGAAAUGCGUAGAUAUCACGAAGAACUCCGAUUGCGAAGGCAGUUCACUGAACUGCAACUGACACUGAGGCUCGAAAGUGUGGGUAUCAAACAGGAUUAGAUACCCGUGUAGUC
rnacentral:rRNA from 1 species